GUCCACGCCGUAAACGAUGGGCACUAGGUGUGGGAGGUGUCGACUCCUUCCGUGCCGAAGCUAACGCAUUAAGUGCCCCGCCUGGGGAGUACGGCCGCAAGGCUAAAACUCAAAGGAAUUGACGGGGGCCCGCACAAGCAGCGGAGCAUGUGGUUUAAUUCGACGCAACGCGAAGAACCUUACCUGGGCUUGACAUGUACCUGACCGCCCUGGAAACAGGGUUUCCCUUCGGGGCAGGUUCACAGGUGGUGCAUGGCUGUCGU
rnacentral:rRNA from 1 species